rnacentral:rRNA from 1 species
AACGAGCGCUGGCGGCAUGCCUAACACAUGCAAGUCGAACGAGACCUUCGGGUCUAGUGGCGCACGGGUGCGUAACGCGUGGGAACCUGCCCUUAGGUUCGGAAUAACUCCCCGAAAGGGGUGCUAAUACCGGAUAAUGUCUUCGGACCAAAGAUUUAUCGCCUUUGGAUGGGCCCGCGUUGGAUUAGCUAGUUGGUAGGGUAAAAGCCUACCAAGGCGACGAUCCAUAGCUGGUCUGAGAGGAUGAUCAGCCACACUGGGACUGAGACACGGCCCAGACUCCUACGGGAGGCAGCAGUGGGGAAUAUUGGACAAUGGGCGAAAGCCUGAUCCAGCAAUGCCGCGUGAGUGAUGAAGGCAUUAGGGUUGUAAAGCUCUUUUACACGGGAUGAUAAUGACAGUACCGGGAGAAUAAGCGCCGGCUAACUACGUG